UCUUGCCAUGUGUGAUGGUGCACGCCUGUGACCCAGGAACAAAGAGGCUGGAGUGGGAGGAUGACCAUGAGUUCGAAACCAGCCUCUGCUACGUAAAGCAAGGCCCCAGCACCAAGAUUACAACAAUGUAUUUUCUAAUUCAGUGCUUGCCACUGAAAUGAUCAGACUUUGUGUGAAAUUCCUCCAGCAGAGACAGUAACUGUGCUGUGUGAGCAUCAUGCAUGACCUUCUGAUUUCAGUGAAUGAAGUCCUCCAGCCAAACAGCUCUCUUUAAUAUUGGAUCCUGGACUUCCGUUCCAGCCAGCACAUGGAAUUUUCAGAUAAGUCAAUCACCCCCCGCCCAGGAUGGGAGUCACCUUCUUCAUAUAACAGUGCCUAUUUUCUCUGUCCUGGAGAGCUCUUCAUGGAGUGUGGUGUCUUUUUCUGCUGCACUGUGAGUCCAGGUGACCCAUAAACUGCUGUGGAAAUCCUGUGUCCAGUGCUGGGUGUUGUGCAUGUGGCCAUCUCUAGAGCAGAAAUCCCAACCUCACCAGCUGGCCAGAGAGGAAGUGAAUAAAACAUAUAUUUCUACCAGAUAGAGUGACCUGUGCGAGAUCUUGAAGCAGAGAUGAAAUUUUCCUGACCACGUUUCUUGGGCAAAAUCACUUGUGAUUCAAAUUAUGUGAAUGGGAUAUGGAGGGAAAUCCACACUUCUCCAAAUGUGGAUUA